GAGGUAUAUUUACAUAUGAUCUGCUAAAUCUUAUAACUGAAGAUAAAACCUCAGA
rnacentral:tRNA from 1 species